rnacentral:rRNA from 1 species
AUGACGACAAUGGUCAACAUGCCGGAGCUGCCACAGGACAUCUUGAUGGGCAUAUUUGCCAACCUUGAGAUCCCCGACCUUGUGCGUGCCGGCACUGUCUGCCCCUCCUGUUCCGAAUCUGCCGGUGAGAGCGUUGCGUGCCUCUACAGCCUCACAGAGAAGAUGUCGUACAAGUUGACCCUCCCAGAGCCACCUAUCCGCACUAGGUGUCUGAUUGGGUCAUCACACGGCUGGCUGGUGACUGUUGAUGACAGAUCCGAGAUGCACCUUGUCAAUCCCAUCACAUGUCAACAGAUCGCUCUUCCGUCGGUGAUCACCAUCGAGCACGUGAAUCCCAUCUUUGAUGAGCAUGGUGCUGUCCAUAAGUAUGAGUACUCAUGGCAUACAGGGACAGAUCUCUCUUUUGCAAGAGUAGGUGAUGAUAACUGGACAUGGCUGCCACCUCAUGAACAAUAUAGCGACCGCACUUACAAGGCUGGCCUGUUGUAUGCGGCGAUUACAACCGGAGAACUUCAUGCUUUUGAUUUCAGUGGGCAUGUCAUCACGAUGGAGAUGAUAAUAAGAAUGGACUCAAUAUAUGGCUUUGGGUACACAUACAUUGUUCAAGCUCCAUCGGGCGAUCUGCUUCUUAUUUGGAGAAUCAUUGACCAGUAUAAUUUUGAUCCUGAUCUUGGCUCAUCUGUAUUUUGGAACACUACGGGAUAUAUAAUGUAUGAAUUUGAUACUUUGGGAAGUAAACAAUAUCCCACUCUCAGGGCAAAUCAUGCCUACUUUACUGACGAUAAUGUGAUGCGGACAAUGGGAUUGAAGAAUAGUGACCCUGAUGUGGGAAUAAUGAACUUGGAUAAUUUCUACUCCAUGGAGGAAAUUUUGUCUCUGGAGCUUUGGUCAAGCUGGCCAGCUCCCAUGUGGAUUACACCUGAUCUUAGAAAGAUGAACUUGGCUUCAGGAGGGGAUUGA